UGCGGUGUGGAACAGCGGGUUUAGUUCGUGAGGCUCAUAACCUUAAGGUCAGCAGUUCGAAUCUGCUCAUCGCUC